GUGGGAGAACUGCACAUCAAACAAAACAAUAUCUAAGAGAAGGAAGAGGAGGAAGAGGAGCGCAGACAUGCAGUGAGUCGAUGUGUGACAAAAACAAGAGCCACAUACAGCUGGAUUAUUAUGAGCAUAGAUUAUGUCGGUGGGGAGGAACAGGGACAACACAGCGGCUCUGGAGGUUUCCUUAAAACGUGGUGCAGAAGGGCCGAGGAGCCGACAGUGACCUCUGUAAGAACUACAGCUUAGUGCAGCAGCCUUCCUCCUCUACAUUUUUUGGAUAUUUUGUGACGUUUUUGCAGUUUUUUCUGUUGAAAAACUUUCUUAGCGGCAAUAUUCAGGAUUUAGUGUCAGGAUUCAGGAAACGUUUCCACGUGUGUUUAGUUUAGUGCUUUAGUGCCACAUGCUUUCAUCCCAUAUUCACCUUUUUGAAGAUAAGUAGCCUACCGACUACCGAGUGCGUCAUCGUCAAACUCAUCACGGUCCCACAGACGCGCGCGAGGACAUGUCCCCCGGUGUCCCGGCUGUCUCGCUCUUCAACACCUCCCGUCUCUUCACCAAACAAGCGCUAUUCCACGGAUUGGUCGCUCGCCCGAAACUACAGUGCACGGCCGGGGCCUUUUCCCAACCCGCGUCACGAGGCUUCGUCUUCGGAUGCCUGCGUGCGCUGCACCGCUGCUGAUCAUCUGACGCGUGGCGGCUCCGCACCAAUGAGCUGAAUCGAGAGCACCGGCGGUGGCGUCUGAGCGCAGCAUCUCUCUGACUCCAGAUCGGGGCGACGAUCGGCGGGGAUGCUGGCGGAUGGAUCCGGGCGGUAACGAGUGUGUUUUUUUAAGGGACGCUGGCGCAGGACGGACGGAUGGUUAACCGAAGGACACCGGUGAAUUGGUGACGUGAAGAUGGAGAGGGGACCGCUGCUGCUGUCACCGCCACGCACACACCACUAGUCGGGGACUGGGAGGACUGCGUGGCGCGUUCGGCUGCGCAGAGGGGAGCGACUCGGUUCAACCUCAGAAGCUCUGUUGUCUCCGCUGCUCAGACCUGCAGGGCGGCUCUCCCGCCGCCGGCUGCACAUUGAGGAAUGUGAGGCAGGCACUGUGGUGCAGAGAAACGGGCCAGACCGAAGAGCAUCGGACCAAUGAUGGAUUUUCCGUGUGAUGAGAGGGAUAAAGGCCCGCCGGUACAGAUGCACAGCCUCAGAGAGUUCGAGCAG
ensembl:lncRNA